rnacentral:lncRNA from 1 species
UCUUCGUCUCUCUCAUCAACAUCCUCUCCAAAACAGCAACAUACCCAGAUUUAGUGAGAACCCAUUUCAACAAGCUGUCGAGAUUAGAAGGUUGACGUGUUAGCAUCAUGGCUGGGGCGCCAAUCGAGGAGUGGAUACCUCGAACGCAAAGUGAAGCAGAAGAAAUCCCCAAUUACGGGAAAGUGAUGAAGGAUCAGCUGUGGGCAUGUGCCAAGUCCACAACCAUGGCAUAUUUCUGGAAAGAAAUUGUUCUGAUGAAGCAAUUGGAUCCCAAGGCUUAUGACUGGUUAAAUGAUCCUAGAAGACCAGCUAAGCAAUGGUCCAGGUCUCACUUUGGAACAACUCUGAAAUGUGAUGUUCUCCUCAACAAUCUCUGUGAAAGCUUCAAUGCUUUCAUUUUGCCAUCGAGAGCCAAACCUGUAAUAUCUUGCUUUGAAGAUAUCAGGAU